CGAAGUUACGCCCUUGCCUCGCGACGCCGCGCCGCUCUCGUGCAAACCUGUAACACUCCAAAACAACGUGGGGUGAGAACCAACUCCAUGGUUCCCAAUGGGUACGACCACCCAAGAGAAGAGCUCGACCAUCAGAUCCAAAUGAGGCAAACAACAUGUUAGUCCAAUAGAUAGAUAUGAAAUCAUGCAGCUAACAUUACCAUACUUUUGCCUCACAACAUGCAAUAUGUAAAUUAUGCAACUCAUAUAAGUAGAUUUAUUGUUUCUACUCUUUAUUCUUAUCCAUUCUUUACUUUUAGUCAUUCUUUACUUUACUGGCUAUUCUUUAGCAUUUGCCUUUCUUUAUUCUUUAUUACUUGCCAUUUUUUAGCAUUAACCUUUCCUUAUUCUUUAUUCUUUAUUCUUUAUUCUUUAUACUUUACUAAGAGUACUCACACCUUAGUAAUAUUAUACACAUUAGCCUUUCUUUCCUAGGAUUACUUUACCUUAGCUAACUAUGCCAUCCGACUCGGUUUUAAGUCAAUCAACUGCGUAUAGACCGCACUCUGUCCGGCUCGAGGCGAAGGAACUCUCACAUGCACCUCAGCCUUCAAUCACAAACCACAUCGCCCAACGGGUCGCCUAGAGCUGCGUACACCCGUGGUCAGGGAUCCCCCGGUGGGAGAGGGACAUACCGCAUAUGCCCGCAGCCGAGAUCCCCGAUAGGGAGAGGAACAUGCCACAUGCACCCUAGCGCUCAUGAUUCUUGCUCAAUAACAAGCCUCGAAGUUCUUCCGGUGGGAGAGGAACACGUCGCAUGUACCCGCGGCCAAGAACUAUCGAGCUUGUAUGCUGCACUAGCAGCCGCUGCACUAGCAGUAGGGAUUCCGGAAUCCACUUUACAUAACUCAAGGGUUAGUCUCACCCUAUGUUAUCGACCUAUCUAGGUCCAAGUCUUUACUCAACCUAAGUUAAUACAUUAGGUUCAAUGUCAUUAUCUUCUUAGCCUAGAUUCAUUAACACUAGGUUCAAUAUUCUUAAUCACCUAGGUUCAUUUAACUCUAGGUUUCAUGUCACUACAUUCACAACCUAGGUUUACUUGACUCUAGGUUUCGUGUCACUACAUUCACAACCUAGAUUUACUUGACUCUAGAUUUAAUGCCACUCAUGUUCUUGUUAUCCUAGUUGUCGACACCUAGGAAUCAUACUUGUCAUGCUACUCGUGAAUAACCUAUGUUAAAUGACACUAGGUUCAAUGCCACUCGUCAUCCUAAUUAUUUAUACUUAGAAUUCUUUACAUAUGACACUUGUCGAGUUCUUUACUUUACUUAGAGUUUAUUGACUCAAAUUCAACCUUUAUGUCGUACUAGCAUAUUCUCAUAUUAGGAAUCAUGCAUACAUUCUUUACUAACAUUUCAAUCAUGCACUUGUAUAUCAUCUAGCUCAUAUGUUUAUUCAACAUACAUCACAUACAUGUCUUUAGCGUUUAAUUCAUGCUUCAUCUAGCAUUUCUAUAACAUAUCAUCAUGCAUUGGUUUAGUGUUUUUAUAUUACGUCAAUAUGCAUUCUUUUAACAUUUCCUAUUAUGACAACAUGCAUUCCUUAGCAUACAUUUUAUACGUUCAUUACUUGGCACAUAUCACAUGCAUUACUUAGCAUCUAUCACAUGUAUUUAUUCAUUAACAACUUUAUCAUGCAUUCUUACUUAGCAUUUCUACUACCACCAUGCAUCAAUAGUGAAAUACAUUAUCCUUUGGCAUGAAAGCGACCUAAUCGCUUCGGUAAACACAACCCACCUUUUAACGCAUUCCAAUUGCUUGUAGUCACUUGCAAUCGGCCUCCCGCGGCAUCCGUGACCCGGUUUGGCCCGAACUCUUGUGCGACCAUCCGAACGGCCACCAAUCCGCGAUUCGUCUGUUCGGGAGUUUAUUCCCCGACACCACGAUACUUCUGAUCCGUUUUCAUGAUUUUUGGAGGCUUAUCCCACGUGCUGCGGCUAUCUGUACCAAAAAAGACUGUUUCGUUAAUAACUUCGCGUACACUAAUCGGAUUGUCGAACCGAGUGCACCAACGCGUUCGUUAUACCCCCAAUUAGGUUUGUAUAGGGUCAAUUGAGAUCAAAACCCCUCACAAGCAAAAGCCCUCUUUUUGGAGCGCUAAAUCACCAUUGUUGCAAUUAGCUUCAUACAAGCUAUUAAUCUCACAAUAAAUGAGAUCAACUACUCUUAGAGCACAAAUAAACAUCAUCUAGCUAAGUUCAAAGAGGUCUAAGCCAAGCUCUAGCCAUUCACCAUGAGAGACUCAAAGAGCUUACCUCAACUAGCUAGCAAGAAGAUGAAGAAGAUGAUGUUGGUCCUUCUCCAAGCUCCAAUCUCCACCUUCUCCUCCUAAAUCCACUCUUAGAGAGAAAGAGGGAGAGCUCCUAGAGAGAGAGGAGAGAGCAUCUCUCUCUACCAAUAUGUGUGUGUGUGUGUUGGAAUGAGGAGGAAGAAGGAGUAGAGUCAAAGCCCUUCAUAUAUGCCAACUUCCCCUUAAUUACCAACCUGCCACUGCUCAUUUUGGGCAUUUUUCGGGCUCAGGGACCGGUCCUUGGACUUGAGGGAUAUGUCCCCGUAGGGUCCAAAAUUCCAGCAUUUAGGAUUUAGCCAAAUUUUCAGCUUUUUCACCGUUUUCGCUCCGUUUUCGCUCUUUUUCGCUCGUUUGACAUCCGAUUCGUUUCAAAUCGAACCGAGACUCUCCAAACAUAUUUUCAUGCAUGUUUUCAUCAUCUUUUCAUCAACGCUAAUGCCGGAUUUAGUCCAUGGUACAACAUAGCCUUUCGGGUCCCGUUUUCGCGCCCUAUGCGCACGAAGCACCCGAAUGCUCCCGAACUUCGCCGGAAUGAUUCCAACGGCUUUCUAAGCUAAGAUACAUCGUAACUUCAUGAAUUAGAAGUUCGGUACAUUACAUUCUCCACCCCUUAAAAAGAGUUUCGUCCGCAAAACUCAAUCCACACCUCAAUUCAGCUCCUCGAGCAAUUGAGGGCACUAAUGCAGUUUUUCACUUCGGAAGGGCUUUACUCUCUUUGGAACUAUCCAAGAGGACUACUACGGAGCUCAUGAUACUAAACGCAUCCAACUUUGCAAGGCACAUCUCACAAAGUGCAUUACGGUCUCUGUCAUUCUAGGGGGUAGCGCAAGUCGAAACUUGACGACUCUACGCGCUCCAACACCGCUUGCCACUCGGCACACAAAGAACUCUUUCUUGCAUUCACUUUCCUUCAGGGAAUGCAUUUCAACUCGAUCACCGACAUUGCCUAAAAGCAAUAUCACCAGUGCAUUCCUCGUGCGUGCUCUAAUUCCGCACCGACUUUUUGCUCUAAUGUGAGAUGGCCCACUUCGGCACAUCCCCACUUUCCAUCCUCAAAUUUCACGUGGCUUGCUAUUAGCUUAAGGCCUCACCAAGAGCACCUCAUUACCUAAUACCAUAUGGCACGAUCAACAUCAUACCACUUUCGCAACGACUCACACGAACACGUCGUUCGUGAACUCAAGUCAAACUUCCCGAUAAUGCUACUCGCAAAAUCACUUUCCUCGGUUUUUCACAGGUGAGCCGAAGGCCGCCAGUACUACAUAGGCCUAUAGCCUAAACCUGCCUCAACAUACGCGCAGCGCCUCUCGCUCACAAGCGUAGACCCAAUCAUAAUUGGGGCGAAAUUCUCACUUGGGAAUUCGCACACACUCGAACCAGGAGCAACCAAGACCCCAAACCGCAUUAAAUUCUCCGGUUGGGUCACAAUUCGUACUCUCAGCAUACUAUCAAUCGUACUAUAUGCUCUAUCGAGCAAUACGUACCACUAUCGGCUCCUAUGCACCUAGUGCGAGCCACCAGCCCCACGAGUGAUCCAAGGAACGCUUUACACUUCGCAAUGCCCAAGUGCUACUGUUAACAAACUCACUCGGCUGAUCCAUAUUCGUACUCCGUGAGUACCUGUACUCGGGCGUCGUACGCUACGAUGGCAUUCUACACUAAGUCUCGGCUUUGGACAAUCUUGCCGUCGCACAUCGUCCACCAAGCACAUUCUCCUACCUCACAUUGAGGUACAGCUAGGCCCACAGGCCAAACUUGGGUAGUAACCAACCACUCACUCAACAGUGAUUCACUUUCACUGUUCGAUCUACCGAAACAACAUCUGGAAUACUCGAACUGCUCGAGUAUCCACCAGCGUCAUAACUCAACUCUCACAAUCUGCUACACACAUUGCUUUGCGAGUCGGUUCAUCAUUUCCAUCUCUACUACGAGUCUCAUCACCAGACCAUCACUAGCAAUUCGCUAGUGCUACAUAGCUCGCUACCUGCACCAGCAGGUAUUACGCUCUUACAACACGAGCAUGCCCGGGUAUCUAUAUUUACCCGUCCACUUGGUCCUUACUAUACUACUACAUAUAGUAGUAAGUGGCUAUAUGCUCAAUGCAUGCAAUGCACCACUUCAUAUCAUGCAGAAACACAUAACUGCAUUAACUAAACCAUACCUGCCACGACGUCGUCAGCAGCAGGUCCCUCAACCUAGGUUGCGUGUCUGUAGCUACUUUGCACCCGCCGCGGACCCCUCGGUUGCAUCACCGUCAUCGCUCGCUCUCCUGAUCGCGCAGCAGGUGGCACACCCGCCGGCUGUCCCGGAGAGGAAAAAGCCGUCGCCAACGCCAAGGCCCAGCUAUCACCUUGCGGACACUCAUCCCGCAUGUGGCCUGGCUGCCCACAAUGGAUACAUCUUCCAUCACGCAGCGCGCACUGCCGCGCCUGGUGGGUACCACCACAAAUCACACAACCUGGGGAGGAUCGAGUAGAGGACGCUCCGAGUGGUGCCUAGAACUUGACUGCCCACCCGAACUGUUCGACAGUGGCCUCACCCAUCCCAGCUCAUGCUUACGAGGUUCGCGCUCCUCAUGCAUGAAAGCCUCGCCAUGCUCUGCCCACAAGGCUCUGUCUAACACCUCCGCGAAGGUUGUGAGCUUAAGGAUUUGCACCUUCUCGUAAAUCUCCGGUCGAAGUCCACGCAGGAACCAAUCGGCCAUAUCCUUGUCAUCUCGUACCACAUCCGGGAUGCAUCCCACGAUACGGAAGAAUUCUCGUUCGUAUUCCCUAACCGAGCGGUCUCCUUGCCGCAGCUUCCUGAACUUGUCCUGAAGCUUUCUCUUUUCACUGUCGGGGAAGUACGUAGAAAAUAACAAUCCCUAAAACUCUUCCCAAGUCAUGGGAGGAAGACUAGGUGAUCGAUUCCGCCGAAUGCCUUUCCACCACACCUUCGCCGAUUGCUUCAAGCAAUGCACAGCUAGGGGCACCUUGUCUCGCUCCAAUGUGUACAGCUCCUCGAAGAGCGUCUCCAUGGAGUCAAUCCACAUAUCACAAUCCAGGGAUCGACAUUCUCUCCAUUGAAGGUAGGCGGAUCAAACUUUACGAAGGUCAUAAGGGCCGCCAAAGCCCGCUCUUUCUCCGCCUCCACCAAUGCACUUUCGGGAGUCGGAUCGCCCGACCCCGAUGGAACCAUCUCUGCCGCAAGCCCCGCCCGUCCUCGACGAGCCGCAACUGGCGCAGCCACUAGCUGCUCCACGGUCUCCUGGAGUCUCUUGAUCUGUUCUUCCUGGCUCAUGGCAGCCUCCUGCUGACGCUGCACUACGCUCACAAGCACUCCCAAUUGUUCGCGGAGCUCCGAGUCUCCUCUCACUCCGGAUUGCUCAGGGACAUCACUUGUCCUAUCCCGCGUCGAUCUAGCCGAAGAUCGCCUACGCAGUGCCAUCGUUCCCUGAAACAUGACAACUCAAUUAAUUCUCAACCUUCGAGGUCGAGUACGAAACAUUUAACAUUGACUCAAAUCGGGCAAAAGUCAUACAAGGGCGUCUAUUCUCAUCACUCGGUUUCAUGUUGUCGUACGCCCAACAUGAACACACUCGGUUGAGAGUACACCGCACCUUGGAUCUACCUCUAACAUCCACUAUAGAGGUUUACCACAUAACCCAAUCCAUUAUCCUUUUGCCACAAAUUACAAGUUCUCGUCUCUCACGAGCCUUAAUCUCCUAUAGUUUACUAUCCUAGGGUCUCCUAGGUCAAACUAAACCAUUUCUUAUUACUCAUUUUUAAGUUCUUUUUAGGUUCUUUUUAUGCUUUGAUACCAUCUUAUCUGUCACGCCCCCAGCCCGCCUUUUUGAUCGGAUUCGGGCACGCCAACAGACCGCCGAACGGACAGGAUUUUCCUUGUACCGCGGACAGAGUCUCCCCUGUACGUUCAAAGCAUCGCAAUCAAUACAAUAUACGAAGUUCCAACUAGGAACACAUUUCAACCAAAAAUUGCAUAAGAAAGUAUCAAAACAUAAAUCUACUUGCUAUUACAAGCAUUCAUCUCACAUAGUACAUUCUUACAUUCUUAGGUUACAUCACAUUUGAUUCCUUAAUUCUUAUUUUCAAAUACAAUCAAAUUAUUAUAAAUUUAUUACAAGUUUGAUACAUCUUGUUCUUUCAUUUUUCAUAUUCCUAAGCAGCCGACUCAGGGUGUUGCUAUCUGGUCUCUGUGGUAGGACGCUAUCUACGAAGCUACGCCCUUGCCUCGCGCCGCCGCGCCGCUCUCGUGCAAACCUGUAACACCCAAAAAUAACGUGGGGUGAAAACCAACUCCAUGAUUCCCAGUGGGUACGGCCACCUAAGGGAAGAGCUCGACCAUCAGGUCCAAAGGAGGCAAACAACAUGUUAGUCCAAUAGAUAGAUAUGAGAUCAUGUAGCUAACAUUACCAUGCUUUUGCAUCACAACAUGCAAUAUGUAAAUUAUGCAACUCAUAUAAGUAGAUUUAUUGCUUCUACUCUUUAUUCUUAUCUAUUUUUUACUUUUAGUUAUUCUUUACUUUACUAUCUAUACUCACACCUUAGUAAUAUUAUACACAUUAGCCUUUCUUUCCUAAGAUUAUUUUACCUUAACAAACUAUGCCAUCAGACUCGGUUUUGAGUCAAUCAACUGCGGAUAGUCCGCGCUCUGUACGGCUCGAGGUGAAGGAACUCUCAC
rnacentral:lncRNA from 1 species